UAUAAAGGGUGGUUAUCAGGUCCAAUGCCUCAUUAUACAGAGACUUGGCUGUCAGCACUGCACCACUGGAGGGUCUACCACGUGUUCUAAAUUGGUUAGACAUUAUUCCCAUUUGAAUUGCCUUCACUCCUGAGUCUCUGAGUGUCAGGUUCAAGCUGCUGACCGACGAGGUUCCUUAUGCUUGCGAACCAGUUAGAUUCUAUACACAUAUGAAUCUUCCCCAUAUUCGAAUAUCUGAAUGUCAGACUCAAGCUGAUGAUAUAUGAGGUAUGGUCCCCGCUGUAUCAAUCAAGUCCCAUUGAAAUAUUAAAACGUUGUUCAUACAUCUUUGAAUGACCUUUUAUGUGCUGACAAUAUGUUCUGAAAUGAAGAGAUUUUACCCCUGAUGAAGUCUUGGAACAAGACGAAACGCGUUGGGUUAUUUAUCUAUCUAUUAUCUGAUGUUACCUCCGAAUCUACAAUAAGGAGAAGGAGGAAAUCGUAGUGAUAUAUCUACGCUUUUUCCUCAUCACUACAAACUGAUUGUUCAAAUUGUGCGACAAAUGUAAAUGUAUCAACUCUGUAUACUUAUGAACAUUUGU